UGGGGCUCCCGCCCAGACACUCAUGCCGAGGUUGUUGAUGUCUGCACUGGUGACAGCUGAGUCGUCCUGAACUUCCCCGGCUGACCUUUGGCACAUUUCGCUUAGCUUGCGAGGCACGGUGCUCAGAAAGGGAGCGCACUUAACACAAUCACCCACGCUGGGGGCGGCUGGGAGAGUGGAGUCACAAGAGUUUGAAGAUACUGGAAUCUGGAGCAGCAAGCACUCUGCUGAAGGAACUUCAAUCAAGAUCUGUGGAAGGAAAGGAAUUAACAAGUUCCUUUGUACAAUUCCCGUUGUCCUUUGGGUAAUUAGUUUUCCUCCACAGAUGCUGCUCAACAUCAACACCCAAACAAGUUCACCUGGAAGGGCAUUGGAAAAUGUUUCCAAGUCAAUCACCGGUGUAGUGGAGGAGCAGCUGACCACACUGUUCACAUCAGACUGCUGGGGAGAGAGAGAGAAGGAUUAAAGGAUGUACUCUAAAUCUUGAUUAAGUGCAAUGUCCCAGAAUCUCUGGCCCACGUCCAAUCAAAGUGGUGCCAGAGCAUUCAGGAUGUUGAAGUGGAUCUCUGUAUCAGUUGCACAGGGUGGCCAUGGUGUGAACCUCUUUACAAUCCAGCCAACCACUCUGACAAUGCCCCCCCACCCCCUCUGUGUCACAGCCUGUAGUUCCCACACUGGCCUCAUCAGCCACUUCCGACCCACAGGAAUGCAAUAACACUCAGACCUGAAGGACUGCUUAAGAUCUAGAAGGAGGACACAACAGACCUUCUGUUUUGAAGAGUACUGUGCAAUAGUUUACAUGGAACAGAGACAUUGUUUCUGAAUAAAGACCGUAAAAAAUAGGAGAAGAAUGAGGCCAUUUGGCCCAUUGAGUCUGCUCCACCAUGGCUGAUCCAAUUUUCCUUCAUCACCUGCCUUCUCCCCAUGUCCCUUCAUGCCUUGACUAAACAAGAAUUUAUUAAUCUCUGCCUUAAAUAUACAUAAAGACUUGGGCUCCACAGCUGCCUGUGGCAACAAAUUCCACGGAUCUACCACACUCUGGUGAAAGAAAUUCCCUCUUCAUCUCCUUUGUAAAAGGAUGCCCCUCUAUUCUGAGACUGUGUCCUCGGUCCUAGACUUUCCCACGAGAUGAAACAUCCUCUCCACAUCUACUCUAUCAAGGCCUUUCACCAUUCGAUAGGUUUCAAUGAGGUCACCCCUAAUCCUUCAGAAUUCUAGCAAAUACAGGCCCGGAGCCAUCAAACACUUUUCAUACGACAAGCCAUUCAAUCCUGGAAUCAUUUUUGUGAACCUCCUUUGAAUUCUCUCCAGUUUCUGCACAUCCUUUGUAAGAUAGUGGGCCCAAAACUACUCACAAUACUCCAAGUGAGGCUUCACCAGUGCUUUAUAAAUUCUCAGUAUUACACCCUUGUUUUUAUAUUGUAGUCCUCUUGAAACAAAUGCUGAAAUUGCAUUUGCCAUCCUCACCACACACUCAACCUGCAAAUUAACAUUUCUGGAAUCCUGCACAAGGACUCCCAAAUCCGGGUGCACCUCAGUUUUUUGUAUUUUCUCUCCAUUUAGAAAAAUGUCAACCUCUUCAAUUUUUCUAGCAAACUGCAUGGCCAUAUACUUCCCAAUACUCUAUUCCAUCUACAAUUUCUUUUCCCAUUCUCUUAAUCUGUCUAAGUCCUUCUGUAGUCUCUCACUUCCUUAAAUCUACCUGCCCCUCCACCUAUCUUCAUAUCAUCUGCAAAUAAAUUAGGGUUAGGAGUUGGGCCAGUGUGUUUAUAUGUGGAAGAUUAAGAAUGUAUUAUUCGUUGUCUUUAAAGUUUCCUUUUUGAUUUCUCAACUAUAUUUUGUUUUCUGGUUUUCCAAUUUCAAAUCAAGAAUAACAGGAGCUAUAGGUUUGUCAGUAUAUGUAUUUCAACUUUGAAUAUAACUAUGCAUCCUUCAGGAGAAUUGACUAUAUCUGAAAUUUUGUUGGUAGCAAUUUCACCUCUGUAGCUGAGAAAUAUGGGUUCAAAUUUCACUUCAGAGACAAAAAUAUUCAGUAAUUUAGGCAGACAUUUCAGUGUUGUAAUGGGAGGUGCUAUAUUUUGGAUGAAAUGUCAAAUAAGGGCCUUUCCUCGAAAAGCAUUAUAUGGAUUUGGUGCCAGGUGGUUCUAGUUUUAUUGCUUCUCUAUUUCAUUGUACAAAUGAGUGGACUGCUCAGCGUGUUGAAUUAAUACUUGAAUGCAUGUCCACUUCUGUCAUUUUCUGAUCCCAUUUCAGAUUUACAGCAAACUUGUCCCUUUUCCCAAUCAUGAACGUAUUUCCAAUGCAUGCCCAAUUUUGCAGGUCCACUGUACUUCAGAAACAGAAUCAGGUUUAAUAUCGCUGGCAUUUAUCAUGAAAUUUGUUGUUUUGCAACAGCACUGCACUGCAAUAAUAAUAUUUUAAAAGCUACAGAUUACAAUUGUGUGUGUGUGUGCGCGCGCAUGCGCGCGCCUAUAAAAGCUGUUCAUCUCCCUUGGAAGCUUCAGUGGCUGAGAUGGAGAGACUACACGAACAACUGUUGCCCAGGUGCUUCACCAGUCACAGUUUUAUAGAAGAGUGGCAAAGAGAAAGCCACAGGAAAACAAACACAUGAAAUCUCAGCUAGAGUUUGCCAGAAGGCAUGUGGGAGACUCUAAAGUCAAUUGGAUGAAGGUUCUAUGGUCUGAUGAAACCAAAAUUGGGCUUUUUGGCCAUCAAACUAAAAGCUAUGUUUGGAGUAAGGCAAACUCCGCACAUCUUCAAGGACACCAUCCCUAUUGUGAAGCAUGGUGGUGGCUACAUCAUGCUGUGGGUUUGCUUCACUGUAGCAGGCCCUGGAAGGCUUGUGAAGGUAGAAGGUAAAAUGAAUGCAGCAAAAGACAGGGAAAUUCUGGAAGAAAACCUGAUGCAGUCUGCAAGAGAACUACAACUUAGGAGAUUUGUUCUAGCAAGACAAUGACCCCAAGCAUAAAGACAAAGCUACACAGUAAUGGCUUAAAAAACAACAAAGUUAAUGUCCUGGAGUGGCCGUGUUAGUCUAGACUUCAAUCUAAUUGAGAAUUUGUGGCUGGACUUGAAAAGGGCUGUUUACUCAUGAUCCCCAUACAAUUUGACAGAGCUUGAGCAGUUUUGUAAAGAAGAAUGAGGAAAAAUUGCAGUGUUCAGAUGUGCCAAGCUGAUAGAGACCCAUCCACACAAGGCUCUAAUUGCUCCAAAGAUGCAACUACUAAAUACUGACU